rnacentral:rRNA from 1 species
GACGAACGCUGGCGGCGUGCUUAACACAUGCAAGUCGAACGAAGUGGCGAACGGUUGCGUAAUACGUGGGUAACCUGCCCUCCUUUUUGGGAUAAGCCGUGGAAACGGGGUCUAAUACCUAAUACAGGUGGGUGGGUUCGCGGCGUAUCGGCUGGGUGGUGGGGUGAUGGCUUACCAAGGCGGUGACGGGUAGCCGGCCCGAGAGGGUGAACUGCGACAGUGGGACGGAGAUACGGCCCAGAGUAGGAAGGGAUGGAGCAGCGGGGGAGAUUGCACAAUGUGUGAAAGCCGGAUGCAGCGACGCUGCGUGGGGGAUGAAGGCUGUCGGAUUGUAAACCUCGUUCGCUAUAGGAACGGUAGGUAGAGAGGAAGCGACGGCUAACUACGUGCCAGCCGCCGCGGUAAUUC